rnacentral:lncRNA from 1 species
UCCGGCAAUUUCCAAAGGCCAAGACGAGCAUGGAUGAAGACUGAUUCUUAAUUGCAUGGAACUUCUUUAAGCCUAUACAAAGCUGAAGCAAGGACAUCUCCACAGUGGUCAUCUGGGAGAGCUCAUUAAAGGAACUUUUAUUUGAGAACCAUUUCUGAUUAACGUAAAGCUGGCUGCCAGAGUUUUAGUGCCUGCCAACCUGCUACAAACUAAGCAAACAGAAAUCAUCUGCUGGG